GAGCAUCGGACGCGCCGCCUCUGCCUUUUCCUUUUCACAUUUCCCCCUCCUUCCCUCCUGCCCUGCCUCCUCGGCCGGCGCGGCGCCCCAUGUACGUGGCUCGACCGACGGCGAUCGCCGGCCCUACCCCUACCGCCCGCGGCGCACGUCGCCUUCCGGCUCCGGGAUUGUUAAUUACCGUUUCGAAUCCAGCAGUUUGACAGCAAAGAGAAACAGAGGGAUCAUCGAGGAAAAAAAAAAGGGCUGGGCUACAAGCACAUCCAGAUCCAGGCUGGAGUAGGAGGCAGCUGAGCGAGUGUUGUUCCAGUGGUGCCUGCCAACGGAGGUGGCUGGCUCAUGAACAUUCACCCGUACAACCAGACAACCGUACAGCAAGUGCAGAAAAGAGGGACACCAAAUUUCAAUUUCAGGUACAUCUGCUAUUCUGCUUUGGGUCCUGUUUGUAAAGUUUAAUAUUCUGAGAAACAGCUGGAGAGAAGAUAGGGAAGCUGAAAAACCCAGUUUCUAGCUUGUUUCUAGCUUUUAAUUCAUUUUUUGGAUUCUGCAGCUACAGUUUCUCUCAAACUAAGUGAAAAUUAGAACUGUUUUUUUUGGGAGGGGUGGGGGGAGAGCUUUUGGCAGUAGCUUCUUCUAGAAGAAUCUUCAGCUGCCAGAAGCUCCCACAACCAGGCCCUUACUUCCUAGUUGCACUAGGCCUGUAAAGGUCCCAUUUGA